GAUGAACGCUGGCGGCGUGCCUAAUACAUGCAAGUCGAGCGAAUGGAUUAAGAGCUUGCUCUUAUGAAGUUAGCGGCGGACGGGUGAGUAACACGUGGGUAACCUGCCCAUAAGACUGGGAUAACUCCGGGAAACCGGGGCUAAUACCGGAUAACAUUUUGAACCGCACGGUUCGAAAUUGAAAGGCGGCUUCGGCUGUCACUUAUGGAUGGACCCGCGUCGCGUUAGCUAGUUGGUGAGGUAACGGCUCACCAAGGCAACGAUGCGUAGCCGACCUGGGAGGGUGAUCGGCCACACUGGGACUGAGACACGGCCCAGACUCCUACGGGAGGCAGCAGUAGGGAAUCUUCCGCAAUGGACGAAAGUCUGACGGAGCAACGCCGCGUGAGUGAUGAAGGCUUUCGGGUCGUAAAACUCUGUUGUUAGGGAAGAACAAGUGCUAGUUGAAUAAGCUGGCACCUUGACGGUACCUAACCAGAAAGCCACGGCUAACUACGUGCCAGCAGCCGCGGUAA
rnacentral:rRNA from 1 species